rnacentral:rRNA from 1 species
UACAGAGGGUGCGAGCGUUAAUCGGAUUUACUGGGCGUAAAGGGUGCGUAGGCGGUAGAGUGUGUGUGAUGUGAAAGCCCCGGGCUUAACCUGGGAAGUGCAUCGCAAACUGCUCAACUAGAGUACAAGAGAGGGUAGCGGAAUUUCCGGUGUAGCGGUGAAAUGCGUAGAUAUCGGAAGGAACGUCAAUGGCGAAGGCAGCUACCUGGCUUGAUACUGACGCUGAGGCACGAAAGCGUGGGGAGCGAAC